GUAAUCACUUUGGCGGCAGCACAUAUACUAAAAUUGGAACGAUACAGAGAAGAUUAGUAUGGCCCCUGCACAAGGAUAACACACAAAUUCAUGCAGGAGAUAUAUUC